GCCAUGAUAAGAGGAAGCCAGUGACGGAUUCACCAGCUUUUCUGAAAAUCAGGUCAUAAGAAAUGAAACAGACGCUGUUUUCACAAGAAAACGAGUGUGCAAGAAGUAUGUUGUAACUGAAGUGGCGUACUGCCUGCCACCCAAGAGGUUGCUCUGUAAGUGGUGAGUUUUGAGGAAAUAAGACUUUCAUCUAUUGUAUUUUUCGUGGUGUCACAGCACUAGGAAACAUGUAGAAAAUGAUUUCAAGUAGUAAAUGAAAGCUUUCCAGACAUUAGGAAUUAAAAUAGAAACUAUUUACAUGUAUGCCUUUUUAUAUCUAAAAGAG
rnacentral:lncRNA from 1 species